AGAUUGAACGCUGGCGGCAUGCCUAACACAUGCAAGUCGAACGGGAGUAGCAAUACUCUAGUGGCGGACGGGUGAGGAAUACGUAGGAAUUUGCCCUUAAGUGGGGGAUAACCCGGGGAAACCCGGAUUAAUACCGCAUGACCUCGAAAGAGCAAAGUGGGGAUCGCAAGACCUCACGCUUUUGGAGAAGCCUACGUCGGAUUAGCUAGUUGGUGAGGUAAUGGCUCACCAAGGCGACGAUCCGUAAACUGGUCUGAGACGGAUGAUCAGUCACACCGGAACUGAGACACGGUCCGGACUCCGUACGGGAGCAGCAGUGGGAAUAGUUGGACAAGUGGGCGCGAAGCCUGAUCCAGCAAGUGCCGCGUGUGUGAAGAA
rnacentral:rRNA from 1 species